UUUGUUUCAACUUUGCAGGGGAUCACCAAUGGGGAGCUGAGAUACUAAAGCUCUCCAUGGGAAUGAAAGUUAAGAAGGGCACCAGGGAGGCCACUGGCACACAGGGUCUCCGUCUGUAACCCGGGCUGGAGUGCAGUGGCGCGAACACGGCUCACUGCAGACUCGACCUCCUGGGAUGGGAUCUCAUCAUGUUGCCCAGCCUGGUCUCCAAUUCCUGG
rnacentral:lncRNA from 10 species